rnacentral:rRNA from 1 species
UACAGAGGGGGCAAGCGUUGUUCGGAAUUACUGGGCGUAAAGGGCGCGUAGGCGGCCUUCUAAGUCGAACGUGAAAUCCCCGGGCUCAACCCGGGAACUGCGUCCGAUACUGGAAGGCUUGAAUCCGGGAGAGGGAUGUGGAAUUCCAGGUGUAGCGGUGAAAUGCGUAGAUAUCUGGAGGAACACCGGUGGCGAAGGCGACAUCCUGGACCAAUACUGACGCUGAGGAGCGAAAGCCAGGGGAGCAAACGGG